rnacentral:rRNA from 1 species
GAAACCAACAGGGAUUGCCUCAGUAGCGGCGAGUGAAGCGGCAAGAGCUCAGAUUUGAAAUCGUGCUUUGCGGCACGAGUUGUAGAUUGCAGGUUGGAGUCUGUGUGGAAGGCGGUGUCCAAGUCCCUUGGAACAGGGCGCCCAGGAGGGUGAGAGCCCCGUGGGAUGCCGGCGGAAGCAGUGAGGCCCUUCUGACGAGUCGAGUUGUUUGGGAAUGCAGCUCCAAGCGGGUGGUAAAUUCCAUCUAAGGCUAAAUACUGGCGAGAGACCGAUAGCGAACAAGUACUGUGAAGGAAAGAUGAAAAGCACUUUGAAAAGAGAGUGAAACAGCACGUGAAAUUGUUGAAAGGGAAGGGUAUUGCGCCCGACAUGGGGAUUGCGCACCGCUGCCUCUCGUGGGCGGCGCUCUGGGCUUUCCCUGGGCCAGCAUCGGUUCUUGCUGCAGGAGAAGGGGUUCUGGAACGUGGCUCUUCGGAGUGUUAUAGCCAGG